CUCGCAGGACGACACGGGAACCUUGGACACCUGGGACAGACAGGAAUAGAUGUCCUGACUGGACUGACAGGGAAACGGGGACAGCAGGAGGUCGGCACCGAUGGCUCCGCCCCCGUCCACCAACAGGUUGCCGUACAGAUGGCCAGACCUAUCGGGGCGCACCAACACCUGCAGGACAGCCACCUGGAUUCGGGACCAGCUGGAUCCCAUGUUCCAGAUCCAGGACCGCAUAAGACGAUGCUGGUUGGCAUGACAACGGCAUCCAGCGCAGGUCUGAGCGACGGAACGAGCAGCAGAGUGUGUGUGAUUAAAUAUUAACACGCCGAAUCAAAGCUGAGCGCUCAUUAACACACCCGCUACAUCGUUACCCACAAUCCACCUGGGACAACAAUAACCAAUCAGCAACUGAAGCCUGAGAGCCCGCCCCCAAGCUAAACACCUGUUCACCACACACACACACACACACACACACACAGACACACACUAAGAUUGGACAAGGGGGGCAGUAAGUAAGAGAGAGGGUGCGCUGCUCUCCAGAUGGAGAUCCCAGAUAUCUAUGUCUGUGUGUCUGUGUGUGUGUGUGUGUGUGUGUGUGUGUGUGUGUGUGUGUGUGUGUGUGUGUGUGUGUCUGCGUGUGUGUGUGUGUGUGUAAGGAUGAACACGGGUUUUCUGGACCUUCAGAACCGGCUCUCAGGAUUCUGGUCAGACUGUAUGAUUCAAUAAGGUUGUUGGACCUUUUGAGCUCGUCUCUCUGAGGAACCCAAGGAGUGGUUCUGAUCCAGGAAUCCCCCAGCA